UCAUGAGGUUGGGAGAGCCUGUGUGUGUCAGUGACAUCGCACGUGUUUCUCCCCCCCUUUUUUUUUCCUCUGUAUUUAUUCAGAAGUGAAAUGAGGUUUCAAAUCUUACAGUUUCUGCUUUUUUAGAGGAGAAAUUGGAUAGAGAAUUCAAAACAACUCACUUGAGCCAGUUUUAACAGAUUCCAGUAACUUUUCUUUAUAAAAGACUGAGGGACUGCGGGCUUCUGGCCAUGAUGCUGCAACUAAGCAGACUUCAGAUCUGUCUCAGUCUGGAUAACAUAGACGGAUGCAUCCUUAAACCCAAGUAGAAGCAGUUCAUUUGAUGGGAUGAUCACAGCAACGUCUGACUACUUUCCUAGAAACUGGUAGAACGGUAGAGUUUACCCAAGCUGAGCUUAAUCAGGACGUUGGCCCAUUUUCAGUUUUACUGUCUGUAGUACCCUCACACAGCUUGAGUAGCUAAUAAAAUGCAAGACUCUCCAACAUUUCGUCAUCUGCAGAUUACAGGCGACAUCAUGAGGAAGUGGAAGGUCUGCAGUUCGCUCACAGGAAAACAUAGAAAUGCACCAAAAUGCCCCGAAGCUCUUGUAUGUGACAACACCGAGGCCAGCUCUGAAGGAAGUGAUGGGGUCACCACGGAGGCCUGAGUUAGCAUACACACCAACCUCAGUCCUCAGAGCCUCAGAGUGCUGACUUGGAACCGCUUCUACUCAGAGGCCUCAUAGAAGGAGGGCAGUUCAAGAGAGACAGCUGCAUAAAUUGGAGGCAUUCACUUACUGGGAGAAAAGUAACGGUUUGCGCUGCACCAUAAUCGGUCAAAAUCUCAGGCUUCAUCAACCAGUGCUGAGUACAAAAGUAUGUAAAAUGACAAAGUAAUGGACAUCCUGUGCCGUCACAGUAACAGUUCUGCUUAAACUUGUAGGUGAGGAUAACGUUUGAGAGAAAAUUCCUGCAUCGCCUCAUCGCACACUUUCUACAGCAUGGAGCUGUUGGAUUGAAAAGGGAUUUUGAAAUGCACGGUGUUACCCAGGCUGCAUCCAUUGCUCUUUCGUGCUAAACUGCUAUGAAGUUUCCCAGCUUGUAUUUGUCAGCACAGCAGCCUGGUUCUUUGAAGAGACAAGAAGCAGGGAUUUCUUCUGUAAGGUGCUUAACCUACAUUUCAACCCUAUUAAACAAGCGAAGAGAAAC
rnacentral:lncRNA from 7 species